rnacentral:lncRNA from 1 species
CUAUGCGAAACCCAAGGGAAACGGGCAUCGGUCCAUGCUUCCCUGCCAGUGGUAUGUCGGUCCAUGUGGGCCAUGUGAAACAGCGGCUAGGCACGCCUUUUGGGCCGGGGCCGUGCGCUGGGCCGCGCCCAUGUGCGCCCACCUGGGCCAAACACCCGUGGCCAACCCGUGUGCACCCACAUGCGCCUGGACUGGCCUGCAUGCUGGCCUAGGCCACGCCAGUCCAUGGGCCCCCUCUGAUGACCUAUGGGCCGUACCAGCAUGUUGCUGGUCUUUUUUUGUG